rnacentral:lncRNA from 1 species
AUCAAUAUACACAAGGCAGGACGUAGGCUUUUACCUUCAUCGGAGGGACCAAACCUGGGUAAACUCUUCUCUCAUUCCCGAUCAACUCCUUUGAGUCACCACAUAGUUGUGAUGGCAUCAUCGCUAAGUCCUUUCACGAGGACAUCUGUCAUGAAAAAACCACGACAAGGGGUUCUCGCCCCGGCUCUCCAAAUAUAAAAAUUUGCCUGUAACAAAA